AUUGAACGCUGUCGGCAGGCUUAACACAUGCAAGUCGAGCGGAGAUGAGGUGCUUGCACCUUAUCUUAGCGGCGGACGGGUGAGUAAUGCUUAGGAAUCUGCCUAUUAGUGGGGGACAACAUUCCGAAAGGAAUGCUAAUACCGCAUACGUCCUACGGGAGAAAGCAGGGGAUCUUCGGACCUUGCGCUAAUAGAUGAGCCUAAGUCGGAUUAGCUAGUUGGUGGGGUAAAGGCCUACCAAGGCGACGAUCUGUAGCGGGUCUGAGAGGAUGAGCCGCCACACUGGGAAUGAGACACGGCCCAGACUCCUACGGGAGGCAGCAGUAGGGAAUAUUGGACAAUGGGGGAAACCCUGAUCCAGCCAUGCCGCGUGUGUGAAGAAGGCCUUAUGGUUGUAAAGCACUUUAAGCGAGGAGGAGGCUACUGAGACUAAUACUCUUGGAUAGUGGACGUUACUCGCAGAAGAAGCACCGGCUAACUCUGUGCCAGCCGCCGCCGUAA
rnacentral:rRNA from 1 species